CAUUAAGUGGCUGAAGUGUAAGCACCGGUCUCUUAAACCGUAUUAUAGUAUAUUAACAUUUACUCUUAAUG
rnacentral:tRNA from 1 species